AGCGCGGCCCCAGGGCUCACAUCCCUCCACGGGGAGUUGGGGAAAAGCUUCAUUCCAUCCACGUGGAGAUGGAGCGAACACAGGUGUGAUGUGUGUUUCAAUUAAGGAUCUGAAGAUGCAGCUCCUAGAUAGCAUUAAGCAAUAACAUUACCUCCUGAAACAUUAUUUGCUGAAGAUCAUCACAGCCAGCACAUGGAUGGUGUACCCAGCAGUUCAGAAAGGAAACCUGGGUGUGUUUUGAUGCAUAAGAAUGAGUCUACAAUCAAAAUUCUACCCCAGUGGGUAUUUGCGUACUCUCUGGCUGUGCUUCAGAAAAAGCUGUGUUUUGACUUAAACAGAAAAGCAGUGAAGACCAAUUCAUUAAAAACAACUGCCAUAGGAGGUAUGUGAUUUGUUUUGAGGAUCGUUUCAGCUCAAAAUGGAAAUAGUAAUAAAAAUUCAGAGAAACAAUUGAAAAUCUACAAGGACGGCUCAU